GACGAACGCUGGCGGCGUGCUUAACACAUGCAAGUCGAACGGAAAGGCCCUGCUUUUGUGGGGUGCUCGAGUGGCGAACGGGUGAGUAACACGUGAGUAACCUGCCCUUUACUUUGGGAUAACUUCAGGAAACUGGGGCUAAUACCGGAUAGGAGCUCCUGCUGCAUGGUGGGGGUUGGAAAGUUUCGGCGGUUGGGGAUGGACUCGCGGCUUAUCAGCUUGUUGGUGGGGUAGUGGCUUACCAAGGCUUUGACGGGUAGCCGGCCUGAGAGGGUGACCGGCCACAUUGGUACUGAGAUACGGCCCAGACUCCUACGGGAGGCAGCAGUGGGGAAUAUUGCACAAUGGGCGGAAGCCUGAUGCAGCAACGCCGCGUGCGGGAUGACGGCCUUCGGGUUGUAAACCGCUUUCGCCUGUGACGAAGCGUGAGUGACGGUAAUGGGUAAAGAAGCACCGGCUAACUACGUG
rnacentral:rRNA from 1 species